CACAAAAACGCAUGCAUUUUCAUUUGGCUCUGAACACUCUCACUCGUUAACUAAUAUCUCUCUCACACUUUUCUUUCUCAUUCUUGUUUGAUGGCCACGGCAGUUCCCGCCCAAACCAUCGACGCCGAUGAACGUCUCUUAUGCUGGAUUCUCUGCAAAACCGACUAUGCUUUGCAGAGAAACACCGAUCCUAACGUAUGGGCGAUUGAAAUCACCUCCAUGCUUCACUCCUCCGCCGUCACUCUCCCCUCCGUCGAGCUUGCUCGCCGUCUAGUUUCUCAUUUCUUUUGGAACAAUCACUGUCCUACCGCUUGGAAGAUUCUAGACGCUGCUGCCUCCCGCAAUAUCAUCCCUCCUUUACUCCUCCUUGCUCUUCUCUCCACUAGGAUUGUUCAUUGUAGGAUACUUCAACCGAUAGCUUACAGACUUUACUUGGAACUCGUUAAGCUACAUGCUUUCACGCUUGAAGCUCAUUUCAAUUCUCCCAACAAUGAAAAGAUUAUGGAAUCAAUUGAUGAUGUUCUUAAGCUUUCUCAAGUAUACAACCAAAAGGUGUCUGAACCAGGAGUUGUUCUUGUCGAAUUUGUCUUCUCAAUUUUAUGGCAGUUACUUGAAGCAUCUUUAGAUGAUGAAAGGUUAUUAGAUCAUAUUCCAGAGAUUAAGCCAAGAUGGCUAAGCAAAUCACAUGAUAUGGAUACUGAUGAGCCUGAAAGCAACAAUAAACUUAGUACUGAGCAGAAGGAGAUGUUGCAGAGGGGAAAUACAACUUUGGCUAUUGAGAUCAUUGUAGAAUUUUUGCAGAAUAAAAUGACAUCAAGGCUUCUUUCCUUAGUUCUUCGAAACAUGCCAUUACACUGGGGAUCUUUCAAUUACCAAAUGCAGCUACUUGCAUCAAACUCUUCAAUUUUGAGGAAUUCGAAACAUAAUGCAGACACCCUUCUAUCUUUGAUGGAAAAUAUCCGCAGCAAUACAAAAUUUAAGCUGGAGUCUAAUGUAGGCAUACCUUCUGGUUCUCAAAUAUCUUUUGCUGGUCAAUCUUAUGGUAGUAGUUGGUCUUCAUUCUGGCUUUCUAUUGAUCUUAUACUUGAAGAUGCUUUGGAUGGAGGGCAAGUAGCAGCUUUUAGUGCUAUUGAAAUUAUUACUGGUUUGGUAAAGAUUUUACACGCAGUUAAUGGCUCUAUGUGGCACAAUACAUUUUUGGGUUUAUGGAAUGCAGCGCUGCGGUUGGUUCAAAGGGAAAGGGAUUCAAAACCAAGCCCUAUACCUCGUCUUGAUACUUGCAUGUGUUUGUUAUUAAGCAUUACAACACAUGUGGUCGCAAAUAUUAUUGAAGAAGAAGAAAGUGAAUUGAUUGAAGAAGCUGAACGUGGCCCUACAAAUCAAGGAAAAAUUAAACAGAUUCGGGGGAAGCGUCGUGGGGAAUUGAUUACUAGUUUACAGUUAUUGGGUAAUUCUCAGUGUUUGCUUACUCCACCUCAAACUGUUCUCAUGGAAGCCAAUCAAGCUGCUGCAAAGGCUACUAAGUUUGUAUCACAAAACCCCAUGGGUAGUGGGCACUUAGAAUCGUUGACCAUGGAUGACUUGCUUACAAACUGUUCUGGCAACUUACUGCAUCUAAUUGUUGAGGCCUGUAUUGCAAGAAAUAUACUCGACACAUCAGCAUAUUUUUGGCCUGGCUAUGUGAAUGCCCGCAGAAAUCAAAUUCCUUCCAGCAUUUCUAACCAUGUGGAUGGCUGGUCUUCAUUGAUGAACGGAUCAAAGUUAACUCCUGGAUUAGUUGAUGCCUUAACUGCAACUCCUGCUUCCAGCUUAGCGGAGAUUGAAAAGAUAUAUGAAAUUGCAAUCAGUGGUUCAGACGAAGAGAAGAUAUCUGCUGCUACCAUUCUGUGCGGGGCAUCUCUAGUACGUGGAUGGAAUAUACAGGAACACACUAUUAUUUUUAUCACAAUGUUGCUCUCACCUGUUGAUCUGCCUAAUCACACUGGGACUGAAAGCCAUUUGAUCAGCCAAGCUCCACUUUUAAAUGUCCUUCUUGUUGGAAUUUCAUCUAUAGACUGUGUUCAUAUAUUCUCCCUGCAUGGUUUGGUUCCAUUACUUGCAGCAGGGCUAAUGCUAAUAUGUGAGGUUUUUGGCUCAUGUGUUCCUGAUGUCUCACAGACUAUCGCAAUCUCAGAAGAACUCUCUCCUCAUGAGGUGUUCUCUAAUGCAUUUACUCUUUUGCUUAGAUUCUGGCGGUUUGAUAUUUUACCCAUUGAACAAGUAAGGAACAAUGCAGCAGAUCCACCACUUGGAUCUCUAUUUAGUCCUGAAUACCUUUUAUUGGUUCGAAACUGUAGAGUAACAUCAUUUGGAAGAUCAACAAAGGAUAUUCUAAAGCUCAAAAGACUGUCAAAAAUUAUAAACUAUCCUAAGAAAUCUGUAUUUAUGAAUUCCUUUCCAAAACUAUACUUUUGGUAUAAGCAACACCAAGAAUGCAUUGCUUCUAUUCGCUCUGGUCUUUUGCCAGGAGGGCCUGUUUAUCAGAUUGUUGACGCUUUACUAAGUAUGAUGUUUUGGAAGCUAGAUGAUGGUUCCGAACCUUUGAUACCGGUGACCUUAGGAAACAACGGUUCGUCUGGAUCUGGGUCUGCAUUGGAUGAUGCUUUAAUGAAACUAUCAGUGCCUGCCUGGGAUAUCCUGGAAGCCGUUCCCUAUGUGCUGGAUGCUUCUCUUAAUGCUUGUGCGCACGGAAGAAUCUCUACCCGUGAAUUGUCAACAGGCAUCAAAGAUCUAGCCGAUUUUAUACCAGCAUCUUUAGUUGCCAUUGCAAGCUACUUUUCUGCCGAAGUUACAAGGGGCAUAUGGGAGCCAGCUUUCAUGAAUGGAGUUGAUUGGCCUAACCCUGCUGCAAAUUUAUCCAUUGUUGAGCAACAGAUAAAGAAAACUUUAGCAGACACAGGUGUUAAUGUACCAAGCCUUGAUGUUGAUGGAGACUCUCCAGCUAAACUUCCUUUGCCUUUGGCAGCUCUCGUAAGCCUGUCAAUAACAUACAAAUUUGACAAAGGCAGAGGGAGAUUCCUUGUCCUGAUUGCCCCAGUUCUUACUGCCGUUGCUUCUGGUUGCCCCUGGCCCUGCAUGCCCGUAUUAACUUCUCUGUGGAUCCAAAAGGUGAGGCGUUGGAGUGAUUACUUUGUGCUCCGUGCUUCCGGAACUGUCUUCCACCACAAUAGAGAUGCUGUAGUUCAACUGCUAAAAAGUUGCUUCACAUCCACUCUUGGAUUUGGCACUACAUCUAUGAGUAAUGAUGGAGGUGUUGGUGCUCUUCUUGGUCAUGGCCUUCCUUUCCAAGUUGCCAGUGGGGUUUCUCCAGUUGCUCCAGGGAUUCUUUACUUAAAAGUGUACCGGUCUAUUGGAGAUAUCACAUUUUUGAACAAAGAAAUCAUGUCCAUUCUAAUGCUUUCAGUUAGAGACUUGGUACGUAGUGAGUUAUCUAAAGGCACUAUAAAGAAAACCAAAAAUGGAAUGAAAUGUGGACAGUUUUCUUUUUUCAGAUACAUGGCAUGUGCCAAGCAUGCUGCAUUACUCGGGGCUUCUUUGAUUUGGAUAUCAGGUGGUCAAAAAUUGGUUCAAUCAUUGAUAAUAGAUACCGUUACUUCCUGGUUUUUAUCAGCUAAUAAGUGGAAGCAUAACGGGGAACAACCUGGAGCUCUGGUUGCUAAGCUUAGCGGCCAUGCACUGGCGUAUUUUGUUAUGCUUAGUGCGGCAUUUGCCUGGGGUAUUGACCAUUACUCAGUUCCACCAAACCAACGGGCGUUGGUUAUUGGGAUGCAUUUAGAAUUCCUUGCAACUAUCCUGGAGAAGAAAGCAUCACUAUGUUGCCAUCGUGCUACUUGGCAAGCCUAUGUGUCAGGUUUUUUGAAGUUGAUGCUGGGUUGCACUCCAAGGUGGGUCCAAGAAGUUGAUGUGGAAUUGUUGAAGAGACUGAGCAAGGGAUUAAGAGGAUUGAAUGAAGAUGAGUUGGCUCUUAGCCUCUUGGAAGUUGGAGGGAUAGGCGUCAUGGGUGCAGCAGCUGAAAUGAUAAUUGUACGUAGGUUGUAAAUCUAUCAGAACUGGGAAACACUAUUCAGAGUAAUACCUUUUAGACGGAUCAUCAGGGACCAUAGUGAGCACCAAGUGAAAUUUAUGGUACCCUGUUAUGGAUGGACUUUGCAUGGGAGGUGAAUGCAUUCUUGCAACAGAAUUUGUUCAGAACAGUGAAUGAUCCACAACUGAGGGAAAUUCAAGUAAUGACAAAAUUUACAAAGGAUUGGGAGGGAAAGAUUUUAUCUGCAGCUUAUUGUGUUCCAAAGUGUUCUAAUUAGUACUAAUCUUUGCCUCAAACAAAGUGCAGCUGUAAGACUUCAUUUCAUAAGUAGACAAACCUCACGUUUGCUCUAGGACAAAAUCAAAAUCACCUUGUUCAAAGGAAAACCCAGGAAAUGAAAGAGCAGUAUCAACUAAGCGGUACCGUGACGUCCCCUCUGGAGGCAAGGGUAAAACUACAGUUUCUGGAGGAUCAAUGCAUUGAAAGCAACAAAUAAAUCCCCUAAUAUAUCAGAUGAUACAGACCUCUCUUGAAGCGCAUUUCUUUCAGUUUUCAAAGUCAUGGCUAGGAACCUGCAGGAUGGAUCUUCCCAUCUUGGCGGGGCCUCAUCAAUUUUCACCAUUCAAUGUUUUCUUCUUUUAAGAAGUGCCUACUUUGAAGAAGAUCACUCCGCCUUGUUCUCAACCAAGUCAAAAAGGAAAUGAAUUGUGUGGUUUGUUUACCAAAACCUGUUUUUAAAGCAUCCUAAUUGAAGGGUUUUGUGUUACCAUAUGCAGGAGAACCACUAGAGGAGUGGCCACACUCAUCUCCCAUGUUCAAAAUAGGCACUCCUAAUGACACAAACAAGAUGAAUAGGAACUUGGGGAUUUGUUUGAGCCGUUUUUCAAGGACAACAGUACUAUUAGUAGGUCCUUCUUCUCCGCAAUUCCAACUCAACCCAGGCUCUAGAUCAUCACUGCUGAAGCUGACUAAGUCCACAAGUGUAAGUCCAAAAUUAUCUGGAAUGUAAUUAAAAGAGAAUGCAGGGCCUCUUCCAUCAGAAUACAUGUCCCCGCUCCCACAAAGUCUUGUUGCGAGGUUGAUAAGAAGACUUUCAUCUCUUGGAAAGUUCUUCACAUUGCUGCAGAAAUUUGUAUUAACUUCAGCCCAUCUCAUCCAAAGAGGAAAGUGAAUCUCUUUCGGUUAUGUGUCAUUUGGAUCACAACAAUCUGCAAUGUUUUUAGUUUUUCAGAGUACCGGAUCGAAAGCAAUUGCUUCGAUCAAGGGAGAUCGAGACAAGUAUUCUCCAUUGUGGUAUUUUGGAUCGAACUCAGGUGUUGACAAGGGUAGCUUCAUGGUUCGACAGGAGUUGUGCAUGCUGUAGUCGAAGUCUAUUCAAGCAUGUUGUCGAAAUAUGUUUUGUUUAAAAACAAAUGUUAAAUUGGACCUUACUUGUAAAGCCCAAUUGUUAAGUUAGUUUGUAACCUAAGUUAGCUUAGUAGUCUAUAAAUAGACUGGUUCUCUCAGGUUGUUGAGAGAGGUUAAUUGUUGUUAUUCACUUCUAAUCUUUGAACUCUUAUUAAGAAAGUGAAUAGUUAAAUAGUUUUAACCAAUUCUUCUUCUUCUUCUUCA